rnacentral:lncRNA from 1 species
ACUUAAAAGGAUUGUAUGUUCAAUCUUGACUUUACACUAACUCUAGUGUUCUUUACAUCACUUUAUGUUGCUACUCUAGUAAUCUUUGUUCUUUACCAUUCAUUACUUUUGCUAACUCCAGCAAUCAUAUUCUUUACAUUUCUUUACUUUUGCUAACUCUAGCAAUCAUGUUCUUUACGCCCCACUUUGUUUUCACUUUAGUCAUUAUCAUUAUUCUUUACGUCACAUUGAUUCAUUGCCUC